rnacentral:rRNA from 1 species
CCGCGGUAAUACGUAGGGUGCGAGCGUUAAUCGGAAUUACUGGGCGUAAAGCGUGCGCAGGCGGUUUUGUAAGACAGAUGUGAAAUCCCCGGGCUCAACCUGGGACCUGCAUUUGUGACUGCAAGGCUAGAGUACGGUAGAGGGGGAUGGAAUUCCGCGUGUAGCAGUGAAAUGCGUAGAUAUGCGGAGGAACACCGAUGGCGAAGGCAAUCCCCUGGACCUGUACUGACGCUCAUGCACGAAAGCGUGG